rnacentral:rRNA from 1 species
UACGUAGGGGGCGAGCGUUGUCCGGAUUUAUUGGGCGUAAAGAGCUCGUAGGUGGUUUGGUAAGUCGGAUGUGAAAUCUCCAGGCUCAACCUGGAGGGGUCAUUCGAUACUGCCAUGACUAGAGCUCGGUAGGGGAGUGUGGAAUUCCUGGUGGAGCGGUGAAAUGCGCAGAUAUCAGGAGGAACACCCGUAGCGAAGGCGGCACUCUGGGCCGAUACUGACACUGAGGAGCGAAAGCGUGGGGAGCGAACAGG